CAGCCGCCACGGUAAUACGUAGGGUGCGAGCGUUAAUCGGAAUUACUGGGCGUAAAGCGUGCGCAGGCGGUUGUGUAAGACAGGUGUGAAAUCCCCGGGCUUAACCUGGGAACUGCGCUUGUGACUGCACAGCUAGAGUACGGUAGAGGGGGAUGGAAUUCCGCGUGUAGUAGUGAAAUGCGUAGAUAUGCGGAGGAACACCAAUGGCGAAGGCAAUCCCCUGGACCUGUACUGACGCUCAUGCACGAAAGCGUGGGGAGCAAACAGGAUUAGAUACCCGGGUAGUCCCUGUCUCUUAUAC
rnacentral:rRNA from 1 species